rnacentral:rRNA from 1 species
UACGUAGGGUGCGAGCGUUGUCCGGAAUUAUUGGGCGUAAAGAGCUCGUAGGCGGUUUGUUGCGUCUAUCGUGAAAACCUGCGGCUUAACUGUGGGCUUGCGGUGGAUACGGGCAGACUUGAGUUCGGUAGGGGAGACUGGAAUUCCUGGUGUAGCGGUGAAAUGCGCAGAUAUCUGGAGGAACACCGGUGGCGAAGGCGGCAUCCUGGACCGACACUGACGCUGAGGCGCGAAAGCUAGGGUAGCAAACGGG